UACGGAGGAGGCAAGCGGUAUCCGGAAUUAUUGGGCGUAAAGGGUGCGUAGGUGGCGCUGUAAGUCGGGUGUGAAAUUUCGGAGCUUAACUCCGAAACUGCAUUCGAUACUGCGGUGCUUGAGGACUGGAGAGGAGACUGGAAUUCAUGGUGUAGCAGUGAAAUGCGUAGAGAUCAUGAGGAAGACCAGUGGCGAAGGCGGGUCUCUGGACAGUCCCUGACACUGAGGCACGAAGGCCAGGGGAGCAAACGGG
rnacentral:rRNA from 1 species